CAGAGGGUGCAAGCGUUGUUCGGAAUUACUGGGCGUAAAGCGCGCGCAGGCGGAAGUGCAAGUCUCGAGUGAAAUCCCGCCGCUCAACGGCGGGGCUGCUUAGGAUACUGCACCUCUAGGGACCGGUAGAGGCUGGUAGAAUUGCAGGUGUAGCGGUGGAAUGCGUAGAGAUCUGCAAGAAUACCCGUGGCGAAGGCGGCCAGCUGGGCCGGAUCCGACGCUGAGGCGCGAAAGCGUGGGGAGCAAACAGGAUUAGAUACCCUGGUAGUCCACGCCGUAAACGAUGGGCACUAGGUGCCGGGGGGAGCAACCCCGUCGGUGCCGCAGCUAACGCGAUAAGUGCCCCGCCUGGGGAGUACGGCCGCAAGGCUG
rnacentral:rRNA from 1 species